rnacentral:rRNA from 1 species
GACGAACGCUGGCGGCGUGCUUAACACAUGCAAGUCGAACGGUGAAGGGACUGGUUUUGCUGGUCCUGGAUGAGUGGCGAACGGGUGAGUAACACGUGAGUAACCUGCCCCCUUCUUCUGGAUAACCGCAUGAAAGUGUGGCUAAUACGGGAUAUUCUGGGUCUGUCGCAUGGUGGGCCUGGGAAAGAUUGCGCCUUUUUUGGUGUUUUUGGUGGGGGAUGGGCUCGCGGCCUAUCAGCGUGUUGGUGGGGUGAUGGCCUACCAAGGCGGUGACGGGUAGCCGGCCUGAGAGGGUGGACGGUCACACUGGGAGUGAGACACGGCCCAGACUCCUACGGGAGGCAGCAGUGGGGAAUAUUGCACAAUGGGCGCAAGCCUGAUGCAGCGACGCCGCGUGAGGGAUGGAGGCCUUCGGGUUGUGAACCUCUUUCGCCAGUGAAGCAGGCCUGCCUCUUUUUGUGGGUGGGUUGACGGUAGCUGGAGAAGAAGCGCCGGCUAACUACGUG